rnacentral:tRNA from 1 species
GGGUAGAUAGCUCAGUUGGUAGAGCAACGGACUCUUAAUCCGUGGGUCCAGGGUUCGAGCCCCUGUCUGCCCA